rnacentral:lncRNA from 10 species
UUCUCCCUUCCCCUCUUCACAAAGCUAAUCCUUUUCACCACAGGAAGAGUGUACCCUGAGAACAAUACUGUGUUUUUAUUUUAUUUUAUUUUAUUUUAUUUUUCUUUGUUUUUCUUCCUAUCCAUACAUACCAAAGGCUGAGCACAGAGUUGGUGCUCAAUAAAUACUUGUUAUAUUAUAUUGUCCAAUUUGAUUUGAAUCAACAAAUACAAAUGUAUUGAACAAGUCACUUCUCUAAUUGAAUAAGAAAUUGAGAUAACUUGGGAUUUUGACUCAAGAGAAUUAGUUUGAGUCCAUCUGUAACUUUGAAGUUACUUGAUCUUUGGUGCAAGUUAUUUUACUUAUUUAAUUACAUGAGGUAGUAUAUAUAAAUGUAUUUGUAAUGUAAAAUGCUGUACAGAUUAAAGUAGCUUUCGUGCCCAUAGAGUUUAUCCUCUCUUUCAAAAAUGGUUGGUUUCAUUUUAACUCUGACCAAAUACUAAAUGAUUAAAUGCCAAAUCUAGUGACACGCCCUGGACCAUAAGCUGCCUCUCUAUCGAUUUCCUCCUUGCUGCUUCAUUUGUUUCCCAUUUUCAGCCUAUUUUGUAAAAUUUUUCCUCUGGUUGUUGCCUGCCCUGAAGCUUUCUCCUGUGAAUGUGCCUUUAACCUAGGAAUAGCAACUCAAGUAUAAAAAUAGUAGACAUGAUAAUUUGUGGCUUGGGUCUGUGUGGAUGUUUGUAGGAU